rnacentral:rRNA from 1 species
UACGGAGGGUGCAAGCGUUAUCCGGAUUUACUGGGUUUAAAGGGUGCGUAGGUGGGUUGGUAAGUCAGUGGUGAAAUACUUUCGCUUAACGAAGGAACUGCCAUUGAUACUACCAGUCUUGAAUACAGUGGAGGUAGGCGGAAUGCGUCAUGUAGCGGUGAAAUGCUUAGAUAUGACGCAGAACACCAAUUGCGAAGGCAGCUUACUACAGGGACAUUGACACUGAGGCACGAAAGCGUGGGGAUCAAACAGG